CGCAAUGGGCGAAAGUCUGACGGAGCGACGCCGCGUGAUGGAUGAAGUCCCUAGGGACGUAAACAUCUUUUAUGAGGGAGAAAGUUUAUUGAUAGUACCUCAAGAAUAAGGGGUUGCUAAACUCGUGCCAGCAGCAGCGGUAAUACGAGUGCCCCGAGCGUUAUCCGGAAUUAUUGGGCGUAAAGGGUGUGUAGGUGGCAGUGUUAGUCAGACGUUAAAGCCCGAGGCUUAACCUCGGAAAUGCGUUUGAAACGGCACAGCUAGAGGAUGCGAGGGAUGUGUGGAACUCAUGGAGUAGGGGUGAAAUCCGUUGAUAUCAUGGGGAACACCAAAAGCGAAGGCAGCACAUUGGCGCACUCCUGACACUGAAACACGAAAGCGU
rnacentral:rRNA from 1 species